GAUGAAGAACGUAGCGAAAUGCGAUACGUAAUGUGAAUUGCAGAAUUCAGUGAAUCAUCGAAUCUUUGAACGCAUAUUGCGCUCUCUGGUAUUCCGGAGAGCAUGCUUGUUUGAGUAUCAGUAAACACCUCAACUCCCCUUUCUUUUUUGAAAUGGGAGCUGGACUUGAGUGAUCCCAACGCUUUUCUCACCGAAAAGUGGCGGGUUACUUGAAAUGCAGGUGCAGCUUGACUUUUCUCUGAGCUAAAAGCAUAUCUAUUUAGUCUGCCUAAAAACAGAUUAUUACCUUUGCUGCAGCUAACAUAAAGGAGAUUAGUUCUUGUGCUGACUGAUGCAGGAUUCACAGAGACAGCUUCGGCUGGCCUUUGUAAACUCGAUCUCAAAUCAAGUAAGACUACCCGCUGAACUUAAGCAUAUCAAUAAGCGGAGGA
rnacentral:misc_RNA from 1 species